rnacentral:rRNA from 1 species
CCCUUAGAUGUCCUGGGCCGCACGCGUGCUACACUGAGUGGAUCAGCGGGUCAGGUUGCGCGAAAGUGUUUCCUAAUCUUGAAAUCCGCUCGUGAUGGGGAUUGACGGUUGCAAUUUUCCGUCAUGAACGAGGAAUACCUUGUAAGCGCGGGUCAUCAUCCCGCGCUGAAUACGUCCCUGCCCUUUGUACACACCGCCCGUCGCUCCUACCGAUUGAGUGGUCCGGUGAGGCUUUGGGAUCUGAGCAAAGAGAGCGUUUCGCUCGUUUUGCUCGGAAAACUCAGUCGAACCUUAUCAUUUAGAGGAAGGAGAAGUCGUAACA